CUGGGUUUUCCCCUUGACCUGUAGUUGAGACCACAAAGAUCACAAUUUCUUGGUCCGGUAGAGAACUAGGGUCAAAAUCAUCAACAGAGAGCAACAAGACGGGGCAUCCUCUACGCUCAGCUUCACGGCCAAGACGCUCAGCGGCGUCUAUAGCAUUACCAGUCUCAGAUGCAUAUAAAAUUAAUAGCUUCUUUGGCUUCUCCUCCAUCACCAUUGAUCAGUUACUGCAGUUGAAGGGUCUUUUGGAAUUCAACAAGAUACUAACGGAACGAUAGUCGUAG
rnacentral:misc_RNA from 1 species